AUUGAACGCUGGCUGCGUGCCUAACACAUGCAAGUCGAGCGGUAACAGGUGUAGCAAUACAUGCUGACGAGCGGCGAACUGGUGAGUAAUGCUUUGGAAUCUUCCCAGUAGUGGGGAACAACCAGUCGAAAGAUUGGCUAAUACCGCAUACGUCUGUGAAGAGAAAGCGGGGGAUCGUAAGACCUCGCGCUAUUGGAUGAGCCAAAGUCGGAUUAGCUAGUUGGUGAGGUAAUGGCUCACCAAGGCGACAAUCCGUAGCUGGUCUGAGAG
rnacentral:rRNA from 1 species